rnacentral:rRNA from 1 species
AGAGGGUGCAACGUUGCUCGGAAUCACUGGGCGUAAAGGGCGCGUAGGCGGGGAUGUAAGUCGGGCGUGAAAUCCCUAGGCUCAACCUAGGAACUGCACUCGAAACUGCGUUUCUUGAGUAUCGGAGAGGAAAGCGGAAUUCCUGGUGUAGAGGUGAAAUUCGUAGAUAUCAGGAGGAACACCAGUGGCGAAGGCGGCUUUCUGGACGGUAACUGACGCUGAGGCGCGAAAGCGUGGGGAGCAAACAGGAUUAGAUACCCUGGUAGUCCACGCUGUAAACGAUGAGCGCUAGGUGUCGUGGGUAUUGACCCCCGCGGUGCCGAAGCUAACGCAUUAAGCGCUCCGCCUGGGAAGUACGGUCGCAAGACUA